rnacentral:rRNA from 1 species
GAUGAACGCUGGCGGCGUGCCUAAUACAUGCAAGUCGAGCGAACGGACGAGAAGCUUGCUUCUCUGAUGUUAGCGGCGGACGGGUGAGUAACACGUGGAUAACCUACCUAUAAGACUGGGAUAACUUCGGGAAACCGGAGCUAAUACCGGAUAAUAUUUUGAACCGCAUGGUUCAAAAGUGAAAGACGGUCUUGCUGUCACUUAUAGAUGGAUCCGCGCUGCAUUAGCUAGUUGGUAAGGUAACGGCUUACCAAGGCAACGAUGCAUAGCCGACCUGAGAGGGUGAUCGGCCACACUGGAACUGAGACACGGUCCAGACUCCUACGGGAGGCAGCAGUAGGGAAUCUUCCGCAAUGGGCGAAAGCCUGACGGAGCAACGCCGCGUGAGUGAUGAAGGUCUUCGGAUCGUAACUCUGUUAUUAGGGAAGAACAUAUGUGUAAGUAACUGUGCACAUCUUGACGGUACCUAAUCAAAAAGCCACGGCUAACUACGUG